GUAAUAGAGUGAAAACACGAAUUGAAGUUAUAAAAAAAUAGGGCCAUGACAUGAGGAUGGACGAAGAUGCUCUCUUCGCAAGGAUACUCAAUGACUCGUUGUUCACCAAAGAGCAACUGGAGUGUUUCUUGGGGAGACAUGAGGAGGAAGAGCGUCGCUCACAACAGACCAAGCCAGAAGUGUUGUGUCACCGAGUGUGGGACAAAUUGCUGUGUUGGCCUCCUAC